CCUACGGGAGGCAGCAGUGAGGAAUAUUGGUCAAUGGGAGAGAGCCUGAACCAGCCAAGCCGCGUGAGGGAAGACGGCCCUAUGGGUUGUAAACCUCUUUUGUCGGAGAACAAAACCCGGGACGUGUCCCGGACUGCGUGUAUCCGAAGAAAAAGCAUCGGCUAACUCCGUGCCAGCAGCCGCGGUAAUACGGAGGAUGCGAGCGUUAUCCGGAUUUAUUGGGUUUAAAGGGUGCGUAGGCGGUCCGUUAAGUCAGCGGUAAAAUUGCGGGGCUCAACCCCGUCGAGCCGUUGAAACUGGCAGACGUGAUGUGGCGAGAAGUACGCGGAAUGCGCGGUGUAGCGGUGAAAUGCAUAGAUAUCGCGCAGAACUCCGAUUGCGAAGGCAGCGUACCGGCGCCAGACUGACGCUGAGGCACGAAAGCGUGGGGAUCGAACAGGAUUAGAUACCCCAGUAGUC
rnacentral:rRNA from 1 species